CCGAGCGCGAGGCCGCGCAGGGCGCCAGCCCCGCGUGGCCGACCCUCCACCCGUGCUGAUAUAUCAGGCUGCUCUGGCGGGCCUGCCGGCCCCGGCCGGGAGCGCCCGCCAGAGACGCCCCAACUCGUGCUGUCAGUGAUGUCUGAGUUGCAAUUAAUAAAGUA
rnacentral:misc_RNA from 1 species